rnacentral:rRNA from 1 species
UGGGGAAUCUUGCACAAUGGGCGAAAGCCUGAUGCAGCAAUGCCGCGUGAGUGAUGAAGGCCUUCGGGUUGUAAAUCUCUGUCGGCUGGGACAAACGGUCUCAUGGCUAAUAUCCAUGGGAAGUGAUGGUACCAGCAAAGGAAGAGGCGGCUAACUCUGUGCCAGCAGCCGCGGUAAUACAGAGGCCUCGAGCGUUGUUCGGAAUUACUGGGCGUAAAGGGAAUGUAGGCGGUGACGUAAGUCAGAUGUGAAAGCCCUGGGCUUAACCCGGGAAGUGCAUUUGAUACUGCGUUGCUGGAGUGCGAAAGAGGAAAGCGGAAUUCCAAGUGUAGGGGUGAAAUCCGUAGAUAUUUGGAGGAAUACCGAUGGCGAAGGCAGCUUUCUGGUUCGUAACUGACGCUGAGAUUCGAAAGCGUGGGUAGCAAACAG